rnacentral:lncRNA from 1 species
GGAACAAUAUCACCUGAAGAGGCAUAUUCCUUUAAUUUUAGGCAGACUGAAAGGCACCAACCACAAAGUUUUCCCCAGAUUAUUCUCACCACACUCGAGCUGUGUCAAGAGGAUUCAGGUUCUCCCUGGCAGUCGGCAUCAGGGGCGUCCCCGCUGAUGGAUGGGUUGUCGGGUCCGCAGGCCAGCUGGCGGUGAAUCUGAGUCCACACAGAGAGACAUAAAACUCCGAGUAAAAACUGAUUAUGGGAUACUAUCUUUGACUGGGUGCAAAGACAAUCAACUUACAGAGCCCAGACAAGAUCAUUUAUAGUUCUUAUUUUAACAAGGUAUGUUUCCUGCUGCUGUCUCUCUUUUUUUCAUAAUAUUACUUUUCAU